GAGUUUGAUUCUGGCUCAGGAUGAACGCUGGCGGCAUGCCUAACACAUGCAAGUUGAACGAGAAGUUCUGGAGGGAGUCUUCGGACGAACGAAGGAAUGGAAAGUAGCGAACGGGUGAGUAACGCGUGGGCAACCAACUUUACACAGGGGGAUAACGCAGAGAAAUUUGCGCUAAUACCGCAUAAGCGCACAGUACCGCAUGGUACGGUGUGAAAAACUCCGGUGGUGUAAGACGGGCCCGCGUCUGAUUAGUUAGUUGGUGAGGUAAAAGCUCACCAAGGCGACGAUCAGUAGCCGACCUGAGAGGGUGAUCGGCCACAUUGGGACUGAGACACGGCCCAAACUCCUACGGGAGGCAGCAGUGGGGGAUAUUGCACAAUGGAGGGAACUCUGAUGCAGCAAUGCCGCGUGAAGGAAGACGGUUUUCGGAUUGUAAACUUCUAUCAGCAGGGAAGAAAAUGACG
rnacentral:rRNA from 1 species